rnacentral:rRNA from 1 species
UGCUAUCGGAUUGAUACUAAGCCAUGCGAGUCAUUGUAGUAAUACAAGGCAGACGGCUCAGUAACGCGUAGUCAACCUAACCUAUGGACGGGAAUAACCUCGGGAAACUGAGUAUAAUGCCCGAUAGAACAUUAUGCCUGGAAUGGUUUAUGUUCCAAAUGAUUUAUCGCCGUAGGAUGGGACUGCGGCCUAUCAGUUCGUUGGUGAGGUAAUGGCCCACCAAGACUAUUACAGGUACGGGCUCUGAGAGGAGUAGCCCGGAGAUGGGUACUGAGACACGGACCCAGGCCCUAUGGGGCGCAGCAGGCGAGAAAACUUUGCAAUGUGCGAAAGCACGACAAGGUUAAUCCGAGUGGUUUCUGCUAAAGGAACCUUUUGUCGGUCCUAGAAACACCGAUGAAUAAGGGGUGGGCAAGUUCUGGUGUCAGCCGCCGCGGUAAAACCAGCACCUCAAGUGGUCAGGAUGAUUAUUGGGCCUAAAGCAUCCGUAGCCGGCUCUGUUAGUUUUCGGUUAAAUCUGUACGCUCAACGUACAGGCUGCCGGGAAUACUGCAAAGCUAGGGAGUGGGAGAGGUAGACGGUACUCGGUAGGAAGGGGUAAAAUCCUUUGAUCUAUUGAUGACCACCUGUGGCGAAGGCGGUCUACCAGAACACGUCCGACGGUGAGGGAUGAAAGCUGGGGGAGCAAACCGGAUUAGAUACCCGGGUAGUCCCAGCUGUAAACUAUGCAAACUCAGUGAUGCUUUGGCUUGUGGCCAAUGCAGUGCUGCAGGGAAGCCGUUAAGUUUGCCGCCUGGGAAGUACGUACGCAAGUAUGAAACUUAA